GAUGAAGAACGCAGCGAAAUGCGAUAAGUAAUGUGAAUUGCAGAAUUCAGUGAAUCAUCGAAUCUUUGAACGCACCUUGCACCCUUUGGUAUUCCGAAGGGUAUGCUCGUUUGAGUGUCAUUGUACUCUCACACUUCCGAUCGUUUGGAUCGGGAGCGGUGGACUUGGGUGUUGCUGCUUUACUGUGGCUCACCUUAAAUGCAUUAGUGCACCUUUCGGUUGGACAUAGUACGGCGUGAUAAGUGUCUUCGCCGGCACCUCACAGAGGGUGGCCGAUCGGGAGCUCUGUGCUUCAAACCGUCUUCGGACAAUCUUUGACAACUUGACCUCAAAUCGAGUAGGACUACCCGCUGAACUUAAGCAUAUCAAUAAGCGGAGGA
rnacentral:misc_RNA from 1 species